rnacentral:ncRNA from 21 species
GUAUUGUGGGGACCACCUCCGCGAGAGGUGUUAGGCAUUAGCCAGCCACGACGGCUUGCACGCGAGAACUAGACCCCUUCGUGCAGACACCAAGCCAGCCGUCGCAGCAAGCCAGGCCGUUUUUUUUG